AUAUUUUAAAACAAUCAUGCUUUCUUAAUAUCUUCAAUAUUAUACUUUAUAUAAGCUAUUAAAAUA
rnacentral:tRNA from 1 species